rnacentral:rRNA from 1 species
UACGGGGGGGGCAAGCGUUGUUCGGAAUUACUGGGCGUAAAGGGCUCGUAGGCGGCCAACUAAGUCAGACGUGAAAUCCCUCGGCUUAACCGGGGAACUGCGUCUGAUACUGGAUGGCUAGAGGUUGGGAGAGGGAUGCGGAAUUCCAGGUGUAGCGGUGAAAUGCGUAGAUAUCUGGAGGAACACCGGUGGCCGAAGGCGGCAUCCUGGACCAAUUCUGACGCUGAGGAGCGAAAGCCAGGGGAGCAAACGGG